AUACGUAGGGGGCGAGCGUUGUCCGGAAUUACUGGGCGUAAAGGGUGCGUAGGCGGCCUGAGAAGUCAUGUGUGAAAUACCUGGGCUCAACCUGGGUGUUGCACAUGAAACUGGCGGGCCUGAGUGCAGGAGAGGGAAGUGGAAUUCCUAGUGUAGCGGUGAAAUGCGUAGAGAUUAGGAGGAACACCAGUGGCGAAGGCGGCUUCCUGGCCUGUAACUGACGCUGAGGCACGAAAGCGUGGGGAGCAAACAGGAUUAGAUACCCUGGUAGUCCACGCCGUAAACGAUGGAUACUAGGUGUAGGUGCUGAUUGAGGCAUCUGUGCCGUAGUUAACGCAAUAAGUAUCCCGCCUGGGGAGUACGGCCGCAAGGCUGAA
rnacentral:rRNA from 1 species